ensembl:rRNA 5S_rRNA 5S ribosomal RNA
GUCUACAGCCAUACCACCCUGUACGCGCCCGAGCUUGUCUGAUCUGGGAAGCUAAGCAGGGUCGGGCCUGGUUAGUACUUGGAUGGGAGAAAAGAGACAAGGGCUUUGUUGAAU